CAUUAAAAUACCGGUUCCCAUAUGAUCACUGAAGUUAAGCAAUGUUGACCCUAGUCAGUAUCUAGAUGGGUGAUCUCUUGGGAAUACCAGGUGCUGUAAG